rnacentral:rRNA from 1 species
UACAGAGGGUGCAAGCGUUGUCCGGAAUCACUGGGCGUAAAGGGCUCGUAGGCGGCUAACUAAGUCUGACGGGAAAUCCCCAGGCUCAACCUGGGAACUGCGUCCGAUACUGGAUGGCUUGAAUCCGGGAGAGGGAUGCAGAAUUCCAGGUGUAGCGGUGAAAUGCGUAGAUAUCUGGAGGAAUACCGGUGGCGAAGGCGACAACCUGGACCGGCAUUGACGCUGAGGAGCGAAAGCCAGGGGAGCAAACGGG